CUCGGUGCCUAUAGCGAGGGGGUCAUACCCGGUCCCAUCCCGAACCCGGAAGUCAAGCCCCUCUGCGCUGAUAAUACUGCUCCCUUCGGGAGUGGGAAGGUAGGUCGGUGCCGGGU
rnacentral:rRNA from 1 species